rnacentral:rRNA from 1 species
AGUGAACGCUGGCGGUAUGCCUAACACAUGCAAGUCGAACGGCAGCACAGUAAGAGUUUGCUCUUACCGGUGGCGAGUGGCGGACGGGUGAGGAAUACAUCGGCAUCUACUUUUUCGUGGGGGAUUACGGAGAGACACUUACGCUAAUACCGCAUAUGACCUACGGGUGAAAGCAGUGGAUCUUCGGACCUUGCCCGAUUCAAUGAGCCGAUGUCGGAUUAGCUAGUUGGCGAGGUAAAGGCCCACCAAGGCGACGAUCCGUAGCUGGCCUGAGAGGAUGAUCGGCCACACUGGAACUGAGACACGGUCCAGACUCCUACGGGAGGCAGCAGUAGGGAAUAUUGGGCAAUGGGCGAAAGCCUGAUCCAGCAAUACCGCGUGGGUGAAGAAGGCCUUCGGGUUGUAAAGCCCUUUUAUUAGGAAAGAAAAGAAGCAGGUUAAUACCCCGCUGUUCUGACGGUACCCAAAGAGUAAGCACCGGCUAACUUCGUG